CCCUCCCCCUCUAGUAAAUACCACAUUUUAGAGCCAGAAUCCUGCAGCCGCUAUUAAUAAUUGCCCACCGCACGCAAUAAAAGGCUGUAUAAGAUCUCUGUAUGAAUACCACAAAAGAUGAGCUGUGCAUCCCCCGAGAAAACUGCAUGUGAAGCAGAAACCAGCUGCUUCUUCUGAUCUUUCUUCUGGUUAUUGUGAUUCUCAGGAAAGUACUAUCCAUCAUGAUGAACUUCUGUCAUGGCAGUCUGCAAAAAUGUAACUUUCUAUAUCCGAGUCAGAAAGCAGUCUCAUUGAACACAAUGGGAGUUUUACAUUGAUCUUGGCAGCAAUCUUGUUUGCCAAUAAUAUCAUCUGUAUGUAUUCUUUUGAAAUGUUUUGUAUUGAUUAACACAGUUU